rnacentral:rRNA from 1 species
GAUGAACGCUGGCGGCGUGCUUAACACAUGCAAGUCGAGCGAGAAGUUUUGAAAAGAUUCUUCGGAUGAAAUUUAAAAUGGAAAGCGGCGGACGGGUGAGUCACGCGUAGGCAACCUGCCCCAUACAAAGGGAUAGCAUUAGGAAACGAAUAUUAAUACCUUAUGAAACUUACCUAGUGCAUGCUAGGUAGGUCAAAGAUGUAUCGGUCUGGGAUGGGCCUGCGUCUGAUUAGCUAGUUGGUGAGGUAACGGCUCACCAAGGCGACGAUCAGUAGCCGACCUGAGAGGGUGAACGGCCACAUUGGAACUGAGACACGGUCCAAACGCCUACGUGAGGCAGCAGUGGGGAAUAUUGCACAAUGGGGGAAACCCUGAUGCAGCAACGCCGCGUGAAAGAUGAAGGCGUUUGGGUCGUAAAGUUCUGUUCUAGGUGAUGAAAACUGACAGUAACCUAGGAGAAAGCCCCGGCUAACUCCGUG